CAUGUGUAGCAUUUCACUUUGAAACACUGCACAUAUAGAAUCAAGGUGUUUUGAAGGUUAAAACCCAUUUAAAGACCUUUCGAUGUUGCUUUAAUGACCAGCACUGUGUGAUGCUCACAAUAAUCAGAUUUUGUCACUGUUUUACCAUUUAAAGGGUUACUCAAAGAACCAGGACCACUUUACUAAUUUAGUACAAAGCAGCUGCCCUCACUCCAACUUCACAUUUAAAAAGGGUACAAAUGGGACUUCAUGAAACCAUUAGCACAUUCAGAUCAAAAUAACUUUUUUGAUGUUUACAUGGCAUUUUCAAUAAGGAAGUUUUCAACAUUUCCUGUGCCGGAUGUGCUAACACCCAGUUUCAGUGACAGUUUUUUUUUAACAUGACAAACAGACUCUUCUUUUGCAGAGAGAGUGUUCAUUUUCUAUUAUUGGGAAAGGAAAUUACCUGUGCCAUUCACUGGCCUUAAUCCAAACUUGCCCCAACAGAUUAUUAUUCUGACCAGCUCAGUCUUACAUUUAUCACGAGACAAUUGCAAUUACUUACUAAAGGUCACAGGGUCUUAGUAAUUAUAAUAGUUAGCUCCACCUAUCAUAGCCCAGCCAGGAGGAUAAUAAUCACAUUUAUAAAUAUUCUCUAUGGAUCACUGAUUCUGAGACUCCCCAAAAACACUAUUUUUCAAGAUUACUUUUAAAUAACAGAGCAGAUACAUGGAAUAUGUAGAGAUUAUGCAGUAAACAGUGAAAUGAAAACUAAUAUUGAGAACAAAAAGUUGGAUAAAAAAAAAAAUCAAAUUCAGCAGUUUCCCACAGCUAUUUUAGUCUGUUUUUGCAAUUCUGCACUGAGUUUU